rnacentral:rRNA from 1 species
AAACGACUCUCGGCAACGGAUAUCUCGGCUCUCGCAUCGAUGAAGAACGUAGCGAAAUGCGAUACUUGGUGUGAAUUGCAGAAUCCCGUGAACCAUCGAGUUUUUGAACGCAAGUUGCGCCCGAAGCUUUUAGCUGAGGGCACGUCUGCCUGGGCG